CUAAGGAAUAUUUCCGCAAUGGGCGAAAGCCUGACGGAGCGACGCCGCGUGGAUGAUGAAGGCCGGAAGGUUGUAAAGUCCUUUUAUGACAGAGGAAUAACCGGGGCAGGGAAUGGCACCGGGGUGACUGUAGGUCAUGAAUAAGGACCGGCUAAUUCCGUGCCAGCAGCCGCGGUAAUACGGAAGGUCCGGGCGUUAUCCGGAUUUAUUGGGUUUAAAGGGAGCGUAGGCCGGAGAUUAAGCGUGUUGUGAAAUGUAGCGCUCAACGCUGCACUGCAGCGCG
rnacentral:rRNA from 1 species